UACGGAGGGUGCAAGCGUUAAUCGGAAUUACUGGGCGUAAAGCGCGCGUAGGCGGUCUUGUAAGUCGGAUGUGAAAGCCCCGGGCUCAACUCGGGAACUGCGCUUGAUACUGUCGAGCUAGAGUGUGGAAGGGGCGAUUGGAAUUCCGUGUGUAGCGGUGAAAUGCGUAGAUAUACGGAGGAACACCAGAGGCGAAGGCGGAUCGCUGGGCCAACACUGACGCUGAGACGCGAAAGCGUGGGGAGCGAACGGGAUUAGAAACCCGAGUAGU
rnacentral:rRNA from 1 species